GAUGAAGAACGCAGCGAAAUGCGAUACUUGGUGUGAAUUGCAGAAUCCCGUGAACCAUCGAGUCUUUGAACGCAAGUUGCGCCCGAAGCCACUAGGCCGAGGGCACGCCUGCCUGGGCGUCACACGUCGUUGCCCCCCCCCCCAUCUACUCCUUCGGGAUUGCGGGGGGCGGAUGAUGGCCUCCCGUUCGCCUAGCCGCGCGGUUGGCAUAAAUACCAAGUCCUCGGCGACGCACGCCACGACAAUCGGUGGUUGCGAAACCUCGGUUGCCCGUCGUGUGCGUUCGUCGCGCAUCGAGGGCUCGAAAAAAUGCUCGGCUCCGGCUCGGCUUUCAACGCGACCCCAGGUCAGGCGGGGUUACCCGCUGAAUUUAAGCAUAUCAAUAAGCGGAGGA
rnacentral:misc_RNA from 1 species